rnacentral:rRNA from 1 species
GACGGAGGGGGCUAGCGUUGUUCGGAAUUACUGGGCGUAAAGGGCGCGUAGGCGGCAAAUCAAGUUAGGCGUGAAAUCCCUGGGCUUAACCCAGGAACUGCGUCUAAUACUGGUUAGCUAGAGAUUGGUAGAGGAAAGUGGAAUUCCUAGUGUAGAGGUGAAAUUCGUAGAUAUUAGGAAGAACACCAGAGGCGAAGGCGACUUUCUGGGCCAAUACUGACGCUGAGGCGCGAAAGCGUGGGGAGCAAACAGG